GUUGAAGGGCCGCGGUAUUAUGACUGUGCGAAGGUAGCAUAAUCAUUAGUUCUUUAAUUGGGGGCUAGAAUGAAUGGUUUGACGAGGUGAUAACUGUCUUAUUAUAAUAAAGUUGAAAUUAUCUUUUAAGUUAAAAGACUUAAAUAAAAAUGGAGGACGAGAAGACCCUAUAGAGCUUAAUAUUUAUUUAUAAUAUUGAAUUAAGUUGUAAGUUGAAAAUUUUGUGGAUAGGUAUUAUGUUGGGGUGACAUAAAGAUAUAAGUAACUCUUUUAUUGGUAGACAUUAAUUUAUGGUUGUUUGAUCCAUUAUUAGUGAUUAUUAGAAUAAGUUACCUUAGGGAUAACAGCGUAAUGUUCUUUGAGAGUUCAUAUCGACAAGGAAGAUUGCGACCUCGAUGUUGGAUUAAGGAUACUAUUAGACGCAGGAGUUUAAGAAGUGGGUCUGUUCGACCUUUAAAUCCUUACAUGAUCUGA
rnacentral:rRNA from 1 species